rnacentral:lncRNA from 1 species
GGUUGGGCGAGGGUCCUCUGACUUAUGCUCGUGCUCCUCUCUCUCAGUCUGUAGGCAGUUCCUGUUGGCCCAUCCAGAGGAGCGAGGCCGCCUGUGGGAGGUGGAGGCCCUGGGGGUCCGGGGUCAGCGUGUCAACAUCUGGCUCAAGGUUCAGCAGCAGGCAAGACUUCCAGAGGGUGAGUGGAACAGGAACGGUGCCCUUAGUCCUAGUUAUGCCUAGUGUCCAUAAUCAGUGCAGAUUAACUUCCGCUGUUUAAUUCAGACCCCUGUAGGUGUUUUUUUCUGUUGAGGUUGUAGGAAGGACAAAGAAGGGAAUGAGACCUGGCUGGUGGCAUCUUAUCCUUUUUUCUACACUUUCUUCCUGAAUGAAGCACAUUUCCGUCCAUCUUGCUCAAAAAGAUCUCCCCCAACUUGACAAUUAGGAUCUCUGAGGUCGAGAGGCUCUUCCCUUUUACAGUUUCAAUAGAUCACUGAAACAUCUCAGAAGAUCCAUUGCCUCUGUCUAAUUUAGGAUCAGUUGUAAACGUUAUUUUGAAUAGGUGAGGUGUGCGCAUGGAUGAAAAUUCAGAAGAUGCCCAGGGGUUUGCUGGGAGCAGCACGUCUCCCUUCCCUCUCUCCUCUGAGGGGAGCACACACCUGUGUCAAGGGCCAUACCAUACAGUGCUCUUUAAAUCGUUGCUUUGUCUGUUUAAUUCUUUUUAAUAGCAGCAUAGUAUGAUGCCGUACUGAUGUGUCUUUAUUUCUUCCCUGUUGAUGGACACACAUGGUGUCUUCAGUUCUGGGUUUUUCAAGACAGCGCCCCAGUGAGUUUGUCUGGCGUUUGAAUGGAGGGCUGUUUUCAAGAGAGGACAGGGCCUUGCUGGCGGUUCCCAAGGGAGGCAGGAGGUGAGAUGUCUUUUAAAUAGCCAGCAGGGAAUGCCCACUGUCUCUGGAUUCCAAGCUGCUUUCUGACAGUGUUCUUUCCCCUUCGCCCAAGUGGGGAAGGACUGCACAUUGCAGUCCUCUCUCAGCCCCACACUCAAGGUGAGGGUCCAGGGCAGGGUUGGAGUAGCCCUCCAAGCCACAGGGACUGUGUGUGCCUCAGAGACCAGGGGAUUCUAACAGUUUAAAUUCACUGUCCCAAAUUAAAGCAUUGGCUCUCUUCCUUUCUGGAAUGGGAACUGCUGGCAGAGUCAAUUUUGGACAUUUCUAUGGCUGCAGAUGGCUCAUUAGGGGGCUGAUAGGCCUGAGGUGCCUGGUUUUCUCUCCACCUGGGUGACUGAUUUACCUCAGGUGGUGACAGGCAAGAGUGCCUAGGAGUUUAUUGAUGAUAAUAGUAAUAGGCUUAGCUUUUAUGGCACCUUUCAGCUGGAAGGUUUAAUGGAUUUUUACAGAUAUUAAUGGGGUGACUAGGUACCAGGGAAGGAGGCCAUGGCAGGGCCAUGACUGUGAUCCUAAUGAGGCGGUUAAGUGACUUGCCCUGUGGCAUCAAGUUAGGAUUGAAGGGAAGCCAGUCUGUAUCCCUGGGCACUGAGCUGACCAGCCGUGUGAGUUUAUGGACUAGCCUCACAAAUGAGACCAUGGCCUUUGUGCUUGGAGGUUGCAGUUGCUUGGCUGGGAUGGAAAAAGAAAAUGGAUUGCAUGUUGGAAUGUGGAAACCACAGAGGCCGGAGGGGGUAAGGGAGGAGGAGGACGACUUUUGCCUAAUUGGGGAGAUGGCUUCCUCCUGGAGAAUUCCACUGGGGGUUAUUUCAAGAGCUGGGAGUCGGUGUGGUCUGGUCAGAGGAAGCUGAUCUGGGAGUCAGAUGCCAGAUCUGUCACUUUAAUUCACUCUGAGAUUCACCAACAUCUACUUUCAAACAGCAAAUGAUAGGACUUACACAGAAUAUUUCAGAAGCAUGCUCGAGUCCCUUGAAGGAAGGAAGGGUCAUCAUUAUAAUUAGGAUAUAAUUAGAUCACUAAAACUCUAUAAUUUAAAAAAUGACUCGAAGUUAGGGUCUUUUCACUCCCUGGGUAAAGCAUGGCUAGUUCCCAAUUUCACCCACACUCUCUUGUCUCCCCCAGGGCCCAGAGUCAGGAUUUUAAUUCACUCAGGAAGGUUUUCUGCCAACCAGCUUCAUCUUGUAACCAUUAUGUCAGCUAGUGCUGACAUCCCAGGUUUUUUCCGAGUUGGUGAGUGGGGCUGCAAAUGCAAUCAUGGAUCCGCACAGAUGCUCUGCACUUGCUCAGUUUCUAAUCUGCUUCUCCCUUCAUGGAAAUCAGCAAGUGUUAGCCGACUAGAAUUUCCCACCGGUCGCCACACAAGGCACAUUCCAGAAGCUUCUCUUCCCUGGCCAUCACACCAGGCCACCCAGAUUUUGUCUUUAAUUAGUGAUUCUUUCUUCACUUGUUUUUCAAGUUCUCUCUCUUGUCCCUUAAUUUCUGACUGUUAAUUGGAGGUUUCCUACAAUUUCAUGUGCGGUAGAAAUAGCAUCAUAAGCAAGAAGCCCAGUGGAGCCGAUUGCUUCUUACUCUAAAUAAAGCAUGAACCAUUUACAACAUUUCAAAGGGAAAUUCACUUGGGCUCCUUGCAAAUGUUUUAAAAUCUAUUUUCGAAGCAGCCUCAUUUGCGGACGAGGUCUUUUUAAAGUUUGCACAAUCCUGGCUGUUGAUAACAUCUGUGGCUUAUAAUGGCCCUCAAAAUAUUUACAGAUUUUUCAGACCUUUUGAGUUUGUGGGAAAUUUCUUUCUUCCUACACUUCAGUUACAUGUGAAGCCUUUGAAACUUGACCAAUAGGAUCAUAAUUCCAUCUGAUGUGAUUUCCCAGUCAGUCUGCACAUGCCUUAAGUUUCUUUACUGGAGGGAAUGAAAUCGAAUACAUCAACAGUGAAAUGUUCUUUUGCAAAAAUGUUGCUGGAGGCAGGAACUAAUUGCACGCUGCUUUAAGAAUUUAGUUCUUCUUUCUCCUUCUGUAGAUUCACAAUAUUGCUUUGUUUCUCCAGGAAAACUUCAUGGAUUCAUUGUUAUUCAUAGGGAAAAUACUUUGCUUACACUUAAUUUUUUAUUUUUUAUUUUUAAGAAGAGGAACUGUGUGAAAAGAGAUGUGAACAAUUUGAGAUGGGGAAGCAGGCUUACUUUUCUAAAGUCUGAUGUCCAGCAAACUGCAAUUCUUUCUCUGUCUAGCUUUUUCAUUUCAUUUUAUUAUUCUUUUUCAAUUUUUGUGGUGCUGAGGAUCAAACCCAGGGCCUUGUGCAUGCUAGGCGAGAUCCCUACCGCUGAGUCACAUCCCCGGACCCAAGCUUCAGUUCUAAACUUGCUUCAGCUUGUUGUACAGUACAGCAGCAAUGGUCAUUUCCUGUGAUAUGCUCUGCUGGACAGUGUGGAGGGCAAAAUCAUGAGUCUGCUGCUCUUUGACAGGUUGUGUGGCUCCAUCUCAUGGCCAUUGUCAUCUACUGCAGCCCUGGAUGGAAAUAAGUGCCUCCUUGACUUGUUUCUGUGGUUGGUUCUGAGUUAUUUGUACUUGUGCUCCUAAAUAAGUGCAUUCCCUUAAAAAAAAAUCCACUGAACCUUAAUUGUUUAGGAAUAAAAUUCAAGUUAAUAUUUUAUUAGCAUGUUGUAGUCCAUAACACAUAAUAACCUCAGGGAAGUUGAAAAAUUGGUAAAGGAUUAUUCAUUUCAGUCCCUCCCUCACUCAUUCACAUAUCCAUUCACCAAUUUAUUUAAUAUCUGGUAAUGAGACAUCUAUAUAUACUGGGCACUUUCCUAGGUUACAGGGAUACAGUAGUGAAUUAGACUGAGAAGGCUUCUGAACUCAUUUCUAAGCUAAUAAAGUACAUGAACAACUACUGCUGUAUGAUAUAAAAACUUGAUUUAUCAGAGAGAACUAAAGUGUGCUGAUAUUUUAAAGUGCUUAGAGUUAAAUUUUGCCAAACCAAAUUUUGCUAAUUUUAUAGUUCUCUAAAGAAACUUAAAAAUGUACUCGUAUUGAUAACAAUUAAAUAAUGUGUUUAUAUUUUAGCUGGUAAAGCCAGCUGAAUGUCUAUAUAUAUAUGUGUGUUGCAUAUAUAUUUUCAGAUUGAAGGCAAACAUGCAUUUUUCCCUAGGAAUCUGAACCCCCAUGGAUUUGGGGGUGUUCAGUGGGGAGGCACACAGUAGGACACGACAGUCAUCUCUUUUUGGUGGGGAUUGGGGGUGAGGCUCAAUUAACAUGGUGGUAUGGCCUUUCUUGAGUAACCUCAUCCGGAGGCAGAGAAGGGACUGGAAACUUGACUCCAUUGAAUGCCUGAAUUGUUCUUGUUGAAGAACAGAUCUCAAGUCUAGCUCAGAAAUGCUUGAGUAGUACCACCACUUUAUGUCUGCUGGCACCUGGCAGCUCUUCUCAUCCUCUGGAGAGCAGUGUAGCAAGGGUUAAUGUGAAGGUCAAGAAGAUGAAUGAGGUUAGGGCCAUCUGUACAUUUGGAAGGAUCCCCCAGGUGUUAAAUUGCACAGCCCCUUGGAACCAGCCCCCAUUUGUUUAUCCUCUUUUCUUGCUUAGGGAGGGCAGUUCACCCUGGAGAUUCCAAGGAGGACCUGAGCAAUCUUGGGCAGACUUCUCUGGGUGACAGACCCACAGAGUUUGCUGAUGGAGACGGCCACACGUAUGGCAGUGGUGUGUUAUCUCAUGAACUUCUUGUUUCUUUGGUAAUUAUGUUGCCCUUGUUUCCUGAAGCUGUGACCUGAACCUGCAAGAUAGCUCCCUAGAUGACCUGGCUGUGGGCUUCUCCUUGGCAGUCAGCUGUAUUGGUUUAUCCUUAGAAUCUAUAUGGCACAGGGGGAAGGGUGGGAUGAGGAGAACCUUUGUAAUUAGACUUUUUGUGGUCUUCUCUCUAAGCUAGACAGGCUCUAAUGAGCCAAAAUGAAACCGAGAACACAUGGGAAUCAGCCGUAGUCUUGCAUCGUUAAGGAAAUACUGAAAAAUCUGAAUUUCAAAUUCUGCCGUGGACCAGUGUCAUUCAGGCAGAAUAAAAGCAAGACAAAUUUGUCUUGCUUUCCUCCCCUGCCUCUCCAGAGCAGAUUGCACAAAAAUGGAAUAUUGUAUUAAGUUUUUGCAUAAUCCAGAGUAAUUGUAAAGUGGAGUCUUGGGGAAGGAUGGUUGCUGAAUAUUUCUUGGUGGCUGGUUGUUCAGUAUUUUUUUUUUUUUUAAGCCAUACCAGAUACUUACCCACAUAGUGUAAUUGUGAUAAGAUUCAUUUGUUCUGGUACAGAAAAGUCUUUGUUCUUCAGUCCCUAAGGAGUGAGUAAUUAUGUUAAACUCCCAAACUUAACAAUUGUACAUUGUAGGGCAAUACUGCUCAAUUUGGUGAAUAGAUUAUUCUGCAGUAGAAGAUUCAACAUGAAGGCAUAAAACAUCCCAGUAAAUGCUGGAUUGCCUUGGAAAGCUGCAUUGUGUCUGACAUUAGUUCCAACCAUCAGGCAGAAAGGGGCUCUCAUACUCUUUGGUUCACAACAGAAAGACUGUUAAACUGAAGAGCCUACCAGUCCACUGAGCAGAGAACAUUGUGCUUGGCUUCUUCCCCUGAUCCUGUCUUAAACUUGAAGGCUCUUGGAGGAUUCAGCAGGGGUCCAGGGCAUUGUAAUGCCUGACAGUGUGCCUGCACAUUCAAGCAAAAAUUCGAGCUUUUAAAUUAUGGUUGUCUUUUAGUAUCCGUGGAGAACUGGUUCCAUGACCCCCUUGUAUAUGAGAAUCCAGGGAUGCUCAAGUCCCUUAUAUCAAACGGUGGUAUAUUUGCAUAUAACCUGUGCAAUCCUACCUAUACCUCAGACCAUCUCUAGAUGACCUUUAGUACCUAACACAGUCUAAUUGCUGUGCAAGUAGCCAUUCUUCUGUAUUGUUUAGGGAAUAAGGACAAGAAAUAAAGUAUAUAGUCAAUUCAUGGUUAAUUGAAUCUGUGGAUGAGGAGCAGACAUGGAGGGUCAAUUGCAAGGCUUCUUUGUCUCCCUUUCUCAAAUCUCCUGGGGCUGGGCUGUUCUUCAGUCUGUUUAGUAAAUACACACUCUUGUAUAUAAAAUGUGGUUUCUCUGGGGCUGGUUGGGGGUGCUUGAACUUGGCUUAUCAUUUUAAACCUCAAUAUGAAUUGCAAGGAUGACCAGGGCAGGACACCCACAGACCCUGAAUGUCCAGGAUGACCUCAUUGUGGUGGUUAAUUGGAAUGCUUAUGAAUUCCUUUCUGGUUUCAGGAGCAGAUUUGUGGAGAAGAACUGGAAAAUAUGAAGAACGAUCAAGAUUGUGCAGAGAAUGAAAAGGAAGUUGGACUACCCACGAGGCCUAGCUGGGCUGAGCUGGAAGGGAAGGAAGUUAAGAGGACAGUGGCGGUCCCUGGGCUGGUGGGGAAGCUGUGGCAGAAACACAUGCUGCCCAGCUCCUGACUCCUCCAGAGGCUUGGCUUGCUCCCCAGGAUCCAGGCCCAAGAGCCAUGUGGCUCUGCCUAGCCUCUUGUUCUUGAAAUAGUGGCCACAGGGCCUGCCUACCUCAGGCUUCCAGUGUGUGCCCAGUCCUGGAGACAGAGAAAGGGCUUCAUUAAGCAUGGAGCACUCUACAGAGUUGUGGAAAAUUUUUCCCAAUUGUUGGCAGUUCCAAAAGAUUUCAGAAGAUUACUGGUUAAACUAACAUGAUUUCUAUACCUCAGGGUAAAUUUGCAAGGCUGCACUGGAACCAUGUGAAGAUCUCCCUCCCUUGGUGGAAGUGAGCUCAGGGAAGGGCCAUGCUGUCCCCCCUCUGUACUAUAGAAAUCCUCUUCAGGUUCAGCUCUGUUGGGACCAUGAGAUCAUGGACACCAGAGGUUUCCAAGGGGACAGGUUCCUUUCCUGGGAGCCUUUGGUGACUUCAGAGCUCCCUGAGAGCAGGACCUGGCCAGGAUUUUACCUACCAAAGGCCUCAUGCCUAUCUCAGCCCAUAUAUAGGAGGACUUUUAGUGGGUUAUAAGUGGGUGUUCGCUAUCACCUAACUUAGAUGGGAAGCCACUGGGCACUAUUUGGGCUGAUGGCCUUUCUGACAUAUGGGUGGCUCCCAGUGUGAUAGUAAAAGUCACUAAAAGUAAUGGGCUGAUCCAUAUGUGACCUUAACUUCCCCCUUCUCAAAUAGCUCCAGAGCCUGCUUGAUGGCCUGUGCCUGGCCAUGCAGGGACACAGAGCCCAGCCACCAUCUGCCCCAGGCUGGUAAAGCCAGCUGAAUGUUUCCCACUGCUGCCUGCCUUUCAGGAUCCAGGAGGCUUCUGGGCCCUAGAGCCUGCUCUCUGGGAGCUGCUGGUAGAGAUUUCUCUGCCUUUGGGCCCUGCCAUUGCUGAUGUGCAAUGAGGUUUCCUAGGGAAAGCUGGCAGACCUUCCUGGUGAAACUGGGGGUUUCCCCCUUUGGCUGGCAGGUGGGAUCUGCAUAAGUUGCAGGCCUCUGCAGCUGAGAAACAGGUUCCAACUCUUAAUGGUGGCUGUCCCCUCCAGUGUCGCAGCAGACCACAGCCGCUCGCCACUGCCUUCUUCUUUCUGGGUUCUUGACUCCUGAUUCUGAAGAGUGAAAUCCACAGAUGAGGAUGAGGGAAUAUAAGAGUAGGAUUUAUUCAGGUGUGAAUAGAGACAGAACGUCUGCAGGACAAGUGGGGACCCAAGAGAGGUUGCUGCUAAUCUAGGGGUUUAUAGAGCACUUGGUUCAAGGCAAUUGGUCCAAAUUUGUGCUCAUCAGGUUUUGGAAAAGCACUGAUGCUAUUGGCCAAUCCAUGAGUCUGAACUCCAUUAAGAUCUGCCCCGAUUCCAUUUUCUCACCUAUUGCGUAUAAUCUCAACAUCCUAGGGAGUGGAUCGUGGAUGCUCAGGUGGUUCAGAGCUGGCACUGUGUGGAGCGACUGUCCACCCAGUUAGGCAGACCCACUGUGAGAUCCACAGGCUGGUGCACCCUGGCUUGCUGCACCUCAGGCCUGAGUUGGAAGAAGGGCUCUGGGCAACUCUGGCCAGUGCUCGCAGCCCACGCCCCUGCCCCACAGGCCAGAGCUCGGCAGCUCCACUGCUGCUCUCUGUGGGGAUUAGUGGGCUUGCUGUGUGGCUCAGCAGCCAGGGAGCCACAUCACUGAGGCAGACAGCCCACAUUCAGCCCACUUCUAGGUGAAGGCAGAUCCGAUCACAUCAUUGAGGGUCCCCCCCCCCCCAACCCCUUGGUGGCUUAUUGUGGCCUUUGAGAACCCAGGGGCCUGUCGUCAUGGGCCCAGCUUGUUGUACUCCUUGCCCUUUGUGUCCUGGUUGCCUAGGAUGGUGGAUCUCAGCUCUCCUUCUUUGGGGUCUGCUCACGUGCCACUCACUGCCUUGGACAUGCGUGUUCUCUCUCUCUCUCUCUCUCUCUCUCCACACACACACACACACACACACACACACACACACACGAGGUCAGUCAAGUUGAUUCCUACCCAUACAUCUGGUUUCAGUUCAGGCGUUCCUCCUGACCUCCUUCUCCUUUCCUUCUCAAGUGAUAGAACCAUGAACUGGUGCUUCUGCAACUUUUUUUUUUUUUUUUUUCAUCACAUCCCACUGUUGCUCCAAGAGCCUCCAUCAGGGUCAACCCUAGCCUUUCUGGUUGCCACUGUGUCCCUAGUGCCCAUAGAGCACAGCUGGCACAGUUCCUGGGCAGAGCCCUGUACAAUGGGCUUCUAUCUUCUUAGUGAUGUAAUCAAAGCCUUUCCUGGAGCCUCAAACCUUGGGGUGGUGAGGAGACCAGCAGUAGUCCCCAGUUCUAGAAGUGCACCUGUGGUUCUGAGUGGUCAAAGGACACAUGUGGUGGGUCCUCUGUUACUUAUAUUUUCAUCCAAGAAUCCAGCGGUCCAUUCAUCUGUCUGUCUAUAUGUCCAUCUAUCUAUCUAGCUACCCUCAUUCCCUCCCUUUCUCUACUCAUCUCCCCAACCAUAUAUCACCUAAUCUUUAUAUCUCCCCAUUGAUUCAUCUCUCCAUCCAUCUAUCCAUUCAUUUAGCUUCCACCCAUCCAGUCUCCACCCCCAUUCCCUCUUUCCUUCUAAUUAUUUCUCCAUUUAUCUACUCAUUCAUCCAUCCAUCUCUCUUUCUGUCCAUCUUUCCAUCCAUCCAUCCAUCCAUCCAUCCAUCCAUCCAUCCAUCCAUUCAUCCAUCCUGUCAUACAACGAAUGUGUGCUUUCUCAGGGAUAAGUUCUGUGCUGGACCCUGGGAAUAUAAGUGAAGCACAAUUACUGACCUGGGAAACUGUUCUCUCCAGAGGGGUUUCUUCUGGAGUGUCCACUGGAGUUUUAUCUCUCUUACACCAAUUACAUAGAGGGAAGGGUCCAAUUGAAUAGAAGUAGAGUUUAGAAUUCUAGACGGAGAAGUCAUGAGGCCCCACACCCUCAUUCUUUGCAUCUGGGUUCUCUGCAAAGAGGGCUAGACCACAGAAAUGGACUGGCAUCUGCAGCUGAAUGGUGCUCUGUGAUUCUGGAAUGUUCCCUUUAAAAUGAUGGGGGUGCUGUGAACAUUGUGCUGUUUGCAAUGAAUGGCUAGUGUUUUCUCUUUACGUGAAAAUGUUUGGAUAAAAUUAUCUCAGGGAUUUGAUGAAGUAAUUGUUCAAUAAAAAAAUCAUCUCAGGGAAGAAAACCUGAUGUGUUGAUGACUUCAUAUAAAGACAUGUAAAUUGAUCACAGAGUUAAGAAAUUCUGCUCCCCAGGUGGCAGAGUCAAUAUCGGUGCUGAGCCUCAGUGCAAGUCCCUUCUGCUCAGAAUGUCUAUAUGCUUAU